GCCAGGGUGGUGUAGUGGUUAGCACAUCUGCUUAGUGUGCAGAAGACCCAGGUUCAAAUCCCAGCCUUGGUU